CUACGGGCGGCUGCAGUGGGGAAUAUUGCACAAUGGAGGAAACUCUGAUGCAGCAACGCCGCGUGGGGGAUGACACUUUUCGGAGCGUAAACUCCUUUUAUAUAGGAAGAAGAUGACGGUACUAUAUGAAUAAGCGCCGGCUAACUCCGUGCCAGCAGCCGCGGUAAUACGGAGGGCGCAAGCGUUACUCGGAAUCACUGGGCGUAAAGAGCGUGUAGGCGGAUUAAAAAGUCAGAAGUGAAAUCCUAUAGCUUAACUAUAGAACUGCUUCUGAAACUCUUAAUCUAGAAUAUGGGAGAGGUAGAUGGAAUUUCUGGUGUAGGGGUAAAAUCCGUAGAGAUCAGAAGGAAUACCGAUUGCGAAGGCGAUCUACUAGAACACUAUUGACGCUGAGACGCGAAAGCGUGGGGAGCAAACAGGAUUAGAUACCCGCGUAGUC
rnacentral:rRNA from 1 species